rnacentral:rRNA from 1 species
GAGGAAUAUUGGUCAAUGGGCGGGAGCCUGAACCAGCCAAGUCGCGUGAGGGAGGAAGGUCCUACGGAUUGUAAACCUCUUUAGCCGGGGAGCAACGUGCGCCACGUGUGGCGCAGUGAGAGUACCCGGAGAAUAAGCAUCGGCUAACUCCGUGCCAGCAGCCGCGGUAAUACGGAGGAUGCGAGCGUUAUCCGGAUUUAUUGGGUUUAAAGGGUGCGCAGGCGGCGCGAAAAGUCAGCGGUAAAAGUUCCGGGCUCAACCCGGUGACGCCGUGGAAACUUUCGAGCUGGAGUUCGUGCGAGGGAGGCGGAAUGCGUUGUGUAGCGGUGAAAUGCAUAGAUAUGACGCAGAACCCCGAUUGCGAAGGCAGCUUUCCAGAACGCGACUGACGCUGAGGCACGAAAGCGUGGGGAGCGAAC